GAGGUGGUAAAGGGAGAGGCCCAUUAGUUUCAUUUUUGCUGCUGUUCUGGAAUUUACUGACUCCCUGGGUUCCGUAGAAUCAGCCUGCUGUCUUCACCCCAGCAUCACUGAUGGUGACGCGACACAGCCUUCAUGUCGACCCCUUUGCUGGGCAGGACUGGCUCCCAGGCAUGGCCUCAGCGAACUCGUGGUCUCUGACCAGCAUUUCCCCACCAUGUGCUGUGCAGAGAUGGUAGCCCCACUUUCCUGCGGGUAAACUGAGACCCGGAAGCCCCAAGAAUCAAAUGAGGCAACGCGCAGAAAACAUUCACGACAUCCCUGGUACAUUUCAAAUCUGGCCAUAAGGAGCUGCCAACACUCAACCAGUCUGGGCCCACAGAAGGGGAAAUCAUCUCGCUCAAACUGAACCGUAAACAUCCAGACCCUUGCUCUAGAUUAAAAGAGACUAAAGAAGAAGGAAAACAGUGUAAAGAGCAAAACAACUCAAGGCAAUGGGGAGCUUUAAUGCGAUCCUUGUUUGGGAGAGAAGACAGACAGAAAAAGACAUUCUUGGGACAAUGGAGGAAAA